rnacentral:misc_RNA from 1 species
UGUGGGAGCAAGCCUGCUCGCGAUAGCGGUAUGUCAGUCGAUUAUGUAUUGCCUGAUAUACCGCUAUCGCGAGCAGGCUCGCUCCCACA